rfam:Soboliphyme baturini genome assembly, scaffold: SBAD_scaffold0002761
AACUCGGCUCUUAUAAGAGCCAUCUAGUGAGUCAAGCGAUUAGCAG